GACGAACGCUGGCGGCGCGCUUAACACAUGCAAGUCGAACGGAAAGGCCUGCUUUCCCUUGUGGAUUGCGGGUACUCGAGUGGCGAACGGGUGAGUAACACGUGAGUGAUCUGCCCCCAACUUGGGUAUAAGCCUGGGAAACUGGGUCUAAUUCCCGAUAGGACUGCAGGGUGGUGCCUGUGGUGGAAAACGAUUUUCUAGAGGUUGGGGAUGAGCUCGCGGCCUAUCAGCUUGUUGGUGGGGUAAUGGCCUACCAAGGCGGCGACGGGUAGCCGGCCUGAGAGGGUGGACGGCCACAUUGGGACUGAGAUACGGCCCAGACUCCUACGGGAGGAAGCAGUGGGGAAUAUUGCACAAUGGGCGGAAGCCUGAUGCAGCGACGCCGCGUGGGGGAUGACGGCCUUCGGGUUGUAAACUCCUUUCGACCGCGAGGAAGCCACCUGGUUGGAAGGGUGGUGACGGUAGUGGUAGAAGAAGCACCGGCUAACUACGUG
rnacentral:rRNA from 1 species